CUGGUUUUCAUCAUUACUUGAAGAUUCGUGCCGUCGCGGAUUAUGCCAAAAAACCCUUCUACUUCUUUUAAACCAGGAGCCCCCGGACCUUCGAUUCCUAAACCGAGAAGAAUCUCCUGAGAUCGAUCCUGGAGCAGAGCAAGACAAGGUCUUCUCUCCCCUUCUUCGUCUCUCUCGAAUCAAUCGUUCUUUCUUGAACCUUGAGAUCGAUCUAUUUGUUUUCUGGAUUCUACUUCGGAUGCUUGUUCUUGUGUACUCAGG
rnacentral:lncRNA from 1 species